rnacentral:misc_RNA from 1 species
GAUGAAGAACGCAGCGAAAUGCGAUAAGUAAUGUGAAUUGCAGAAUUCAGUGAAUCAUCGAAUCUUUGAACGCACAUUGCGCCCGCCAGUAUUCUGGCGGGCAUGCCUGUCCGAGCGUCAUUUCAACCCUCGAACCCCUCCGGGGGGUCGGCGUUGGGGAUCGGCACUUACCUGCCGGCCCCGAAAUACAGUGGCGGUCUCGCCGCAGCCUCUCCUGCGCAGUAGUUUGCACACUCGCACCGGGAGCGCGGCGCGUCCACGGCCGUAAAACAACCCAAACUUCUGAAAUGUUGACCUCGGAUCAGGUAGGAAUACCCGCUGAACUUAAGCAUAUCAAUAGCGGAGA